UACGUAGGGUGCGAGCGUUAAUCGGAAUUACUGGGCGUAAGGGGUGCGCAGGCGGUUUUGUAAGCCAGAUGUGAAAUCCCCGGGCUCAACCUGGGAAUGGCAUUUGGGACUGCAAGGCUAGAGUGUGGCAGAGGAGACUGGAAUUCCCGGUGUAGCAGUGAAAUGCGUAGAUAUCGGGAGGAAUACCGAUGGCGAAGGCAGGUCUCUGGGCUGACACUGACGCUCAUGCACGAAAGCGUGGGGAGCAAACAGG
rnacentral:rRNA from 1 species